GCUCCCUGAUGUUAGCGGCGGACGGGUGAGUAACACGUGGGUAACCUGCCUGUAAGACUGGGAUAACUCCGGGAAACCGGGGCUAAUACCGGAUGGUUGUCUGAACCGCAUGGUUCAGACAUAAAAGGUGGCUUCGGCUACCACUUACAGAUGGACCCGCGGCGCAUUAGCUAGUUGGUGAGGUAACGGCUCACCAAGGCGACGAUGCGUAGCCGACCUGAGAGGGUGAUCGGCCACACUGGGACUGAGACACGGCCCAGACUCCUACGGGAGGCAGCAGUAGGGAAUCUUCCGCAAUGGACGAAAGUCUGACGGAGCAACGCCGCGUGAGUGAUGAAGGUUUUCGGAUCGUAAAGCUCUGUUGUUAGGGAAGAACAAGUGCCGUUCAAAUAGGGCGGCACCUUGACGGUACCUAACCAGAAAGCCACGGCUAACUACGUGCCAGCAGCCGCGGUAAUACGUAGGUGGCAAGCGUUGUCCGGAAUUAUUGGGCGUAAAGGGCUCGCAGGCGGUUUCUUAAGUCUGAUGUGAAAGCCCCCGGCUCAACCGGGGAGGGUCAUUGGAAACUGGGGAACUUGAGUGCAGAAGAGGAGAGUGGAAUUCCACGUGUAGCGGUGAAAUGCGUAGAGAUGUGGAGGAACACCAGUGGCGAAGGCGACUCUCUGGUCUGUAACUGACGCUGAGGAGCGAAAGCGU
rnacentral:rRNA from 1 species